UCUCCGUUGGUGAACCAGCGGAGGGAUCAUUACUGGAAUCGCAAGAUCCCACAACCCUGUGAACCUACCGAAACGUUGCCUCGGCGGGUGCCCGGCCUCUGCGCCGGGCGCUGCGCCCGCCGGCGGCCCCCUACUCUGUCUCUGCAGCGUGGCAUCUCAGAGUCCCAGAAAACAAGUCAAAACUUUCAACAACGGAUCUCUUGGCUCUAGCAUCGAGGAAGAACGCAGC
rnacentral:misc_RNA from 1 species